rnacentral:rRNA from 2 species
AGGCGUGGCGUAGGCGGCUUCUUAAGUCGGAUGUGAAAUCCUGAGCUUAACUUAGGAAUGCAUUCGAUACUGGAAGCUAGAGUAUGGGAGAGGAUGGUAGAAUACCAGGUGUAGCGGUGAAAUGCGUAGAGAUCUGGAGGAAUACCGAUGGCGAAGGCAGCCAUCUGGCCUAAUACUGACGCUGAGGUACGAAAGCAUGGGGAGCAAACAGGAUUAGAUACCCUGGUAGUCCAUGCCGUAAACGAUGUCUACUAGCCGUUGGGGCCUUUGAGGCUUUAGUGGCGCAGCUAACGCGAUAAGUAGACCGCCUGGGGAGUACGGUCGCAAGACUAAAACUCAAAUGAAUUGACGGGGGCCCGCACAAGCGGUGGAGCAUGUGGUUUAAUUCGAUGCAACGCGAAGAACCUUACCUGGUCUUGACAUAGUAAGAACUUUCCAGAGAUGGAUUGGUGCCUUCGGGAACUUACAUACAGGUGCUGCAUGGCUGUCGUCAGCUCGUGUCGUGAGAUGUUGGGUUAAGUCCCGCAACGAGCGCAACCCUUUUCCUUAUUUGCCAGCGGGUUAAGCCGGGAACUUUAAGGAUACUGCCAGUGACAAACUGGAGGAAGGCGGGGACGACGUCAAGUCAUCAUGGCCCUUACGACCAGGGCUACACACGUGCUACAAUGGUCGGUACAAAGGGUUGCUACCUAGCGAUAGGAUGCUAAUCUCAAAAAGCCGAUCGUAGUCCGGAUUGGAGUCUGCAACUCUACUUCAUGAAGACGGAA